CUACGGGUCGCAGCAGUGGGGAAUAUUGCACAAUGGGCGCAAGCCUGAUGCAGCCAUGCCGCGUGUAUGAAGAAGGCCUUCGGGUUGUAAAGUACUUUCAGCGGGGAGGAAGGGAGUAAAGUUAAUACCUUUGCUCAUUGACGUUACCCGCAGAAGAAGCACCGGCUAACUCCGUGCCAGCAGCCGCGGUAAUACGGAGGGUGCAAGCGUUAAUCGGAAUUACUGGGCGUAAAGCGCACGCAGGCGGUUUGUUAAGUCAGAUGUGAAAUCCCCGGGCUCAACCUGGGAACUGCAUCUGAUACUGGCAAGCUUGGGUCUCGUAGAGGGGGGGAGAAUUCCAGGUGUAGCGGUGAAAUGCGUAGAGAUCUGGAGGAAUACCGGUGGCGAAGGCGGCCCCCUGGACGAAGACUGACGCUCAGGUGCGAAAGCGUGGGGAGCAAACAGGAUUAGAUACCCUUUAGUC
rnacentral:rRNA from 1 species